rnacentral:rRNA from 1 species
GCUAUAAUCCAAUUAGGGGAACCUGUCCUUUCAUUCGAUAAUCCACGAAAAUCUUACUCACUCUAGCUUCACCAACAGCUUAUAUACCGUCGUCUAGCCAGCCUUGUUGAUAGAACAAAAGCGAGCAAGAGAGGUUUAAGUUUAAACCUAAAAAGUCAGAUAAAGGCGUAGCCUAUGGGUGAGGGGGAGAUGGGUUACAGUUAAAAAAGUGAUAUUGGAAUCUUAAUGAAAUUUUAAGAGGAAAGAGGACUUAAAAGUAAUAUUUUAAAAAAAUUGAAAUAUGAAUGCGGGAAUAUAGUGUGU